ACUCAAUAGAUACCCGGGUAGUCCACGCCCUAAACGAUGUCUACUAGUUGUCGGGUCUUAAUUGACUUGGUAAACGCAGCUAAACGCGUGAAGUAGACCGCCUGGGGAGUACGGUCGCAAGAUUAAAACUCAAAGGAAUUGACGGGGACCCGCACAAGCGGUGGAUGAUGUGGAUUAAUUCGAUGCAACGCGAAAAACCUUACCUACCCUUGACAUGGAUGGAAUCCCUGAGAGAUUGGGGAGUGCCCGAAAGGGAACCAUUACACAGGUGCUGCAUGGCUGUCGUCAGCUCGUGUCGUGAGAUGUUGGGUUAAGUCCCGCAACGAGCGCAACCCUUGUCAUUAGUUGCUACGAAAGGGCACUCUAAUGAGACUGCCGGUGACAAACCGGAGGAAGGUGGGGAUGACGUCAAGUCCUCAUGGCCCUUAUGGGUAGGGCUUCACACGUCAUACAAUGGUACAUACAGAGGGCCGCCAACCCGCGAGGGGGAGCUAAUCCCAGAAAGUGUAUCGUAGUCCGGAUUGUAGUCUGCAACUCG
rnacentral:rRNA from 1 species